UACAGAGGUCUCAAGCGUUGUUCGGAUUCAUUGGGCGUAAAGGGUGCGCAGGCGGCGGGGCAAGUCGGACGUGAAAUCUCGGGGCUUAACCCCGAAACUGCGUUCGAUACUGCCCUGCUAGAGGACUGGAGAGGAGACUGGAAUUCCUGGUGUAGCAGUGAAAUGCGUAGAUAUCAGGAGGAACGCCAAUGGCGAAGGCAAGUCUCUGGACAGUUCCUGACGCUCAUGCACGAAGGCCAGGGGAGCAAACGGG
rnacentral:rRNA from 1 species